rnacentral:rRNA from 1 species
UACGGAGGGGGCGAGCGUUAUUCGGAAUUAUUGGGCGUAAAGGGCGCGUAGGCGGCUUGAUGUGUCAAAGGUGAAAUCCCUCGGCUCAACUGAGGAACUGCCUUUGAAACUGUCUGGCUUGAGGCCGGGAGAGGGUAGCGGAAUUCCCAGUGUAGCGGUGAAAUGCGUAGAUACUGGGAGGGACACCGGUGGCGAAGGCGGCUACCUGGACCGGUUCUGACGCUGAUGCGCGAAAGCGUGGGUAGCAAACAGG